GCUGACGAGUGGCGGACGGGUGAGUAAUGUCUGGGAAACUGCCUGAUGGAGGGGGAUAACUACUGGAAACGGUGGCUAAUACCGCAUAACGUCGCAAGACCAAAGAGGGGGACCUUCGGGCCUCUUGCCAUCAGAUGUGCCCAGAUGGGAUUAGCUUGUUGGUGAGGUAACGGCUCACCAAGGCGACGAUCCCUAGCUGGUCUGAGAGGAUGACCAGCCACACUGGAACUGAGACACGGUCCAGACUCCUACGGGAGGCAGCAGUGGGGAAUAUUGCACAAUGGGCGCAAGCCUGAUGCAGCCAUGCCGCGUGUAUGAAGAAGGCCUUCGGGUUGUAAAGUACUUUCAGCGGGGAGGAAGGUGUUGUGGUUAAUAACCGCAGCAAUUGACGUUACCCGCAGAAGAAGCACCGGCUAACUCCGUGCCAGCAGCCGCGGUAAUACGGAGGGUGCAAGCGUUAAUCGGAAUUACUGGGCGUAAAGCGCACGCAGGCGGUCUGUCAAGUCGGAUGUGAAAUCCCCGGGCUCAACCUGGGAACUGCAUUCGAAACUGGCAGGCUUGAGUCUUGUAGAGGGGGGUAGAAUUCCAGGUGUAGCGGUGAAAUGCGUAGAGAUCUGGAGGAAUACCGGUGGCGAAGGCGGCCCCCUGGACAAAGACUGACGCUCAGGUGCGAAAGCGUGGGGAGCAAACAGGAUUAGAUACCCUGGUAGUCCACGCCGUAAACGAUGUCUACUUGGAGGUUGUGCCCUUGAGGCGUGGCUUCCGGAGCUAACGCGUUAAGUAGACCGCCUGGGGAGUACGGCCGCAAGGUUAAAACUCAAAUGAAUUGACGGGGGCCCGCACAAGCGGUGGAGCAUGUGGUUUAAUUCGAUGCAACGCGAAGAACCUUACCUGGUCUUGACAUCCACGGAAGUUUUCAGAGAUGGAUUGGUGCCUUCGGGAACUGUGAGACAGGUGCUGCAUGGCUGUCGUCAGCUCGUGUUGUGAAAUGUUGGGUUAAGUCCCGCAACGAGCGCAACCCUUAUCCUUUGUUGCCAGCGGUCCGGCCGGGAACUCAAAGGAGACUGCCAGUGAUAAACUGGAGGAAGGUGGGGAUGACGUCAAGUCAUCAUGGCCCUUACGACCAGGGCUACACACGUGCUACAAUGGCGCAUACAAAGAGAAGCGACCUCGCGAGAGCAAGCGGACCUCAUAAAGUGCGUCGUAGUCCGGAUUGGAGUCUGCAACUCGACUCCAUGAAGUCGGAAUCGCUAGUAAUCGUGGAUCAGAAUGCCACGGUGAAUACGUUCCCGGGCCUUGUACACACCGCCCGUCACACCAUGGGAGUGGGUUGCAAAAGAAGUAGGUAGCUUAACCUUCGGGAGGGCGCUUACCACUUUGUGAUUCAUGACUGGGGUGAAGUCGUAACAAGGUAACCGUAGGGGAACCUGCGGUUGGAUCACCUCCUUACCUUAAAGAAGC
rnacentral:rRNA from 1 species